rnacentral:rRNA from 1 species
GACGAACGCUGGCGGCGUGCCUAAUACAUGCAAGUCGAACGCAGUUGCGAACGGGUGAGUAACGCGUAGGUAACUGCCUCAUAGCGGGGGAUAACUAUUUGGAACGAUAGCUAAUACCCCAUACUGUGAGCUGGACCUGCGUUGUAUUAGGUAGUUGGUGCGGUAAAGGCUCAACAAGGCGACGAUACAUAGCCGACCUGAGAGGGUGAUCGGCCAAAAUGGGACUGGGACAACGCCCAGACUCCUACGGGAGGGAGCAGUAGGGAAUUUUUGGAAAUGGGCGGAAGUCUUACCGAGGCACGGCGCGUGAGUGAAGAAGGUUUUCGGAGCGGAAAGCUCUGUUGUUAGAGAAGCGGUAACUAAACAGAAAGGGACGGCUAACUACGUGCCAGCAGCCGCGGUAAUAC